rnacentral:sRNA from 1 species
UUUUCAAUCUUCUGGGAAAGAGAAGAAUGUUCCCCUCCAGUUCUGGGCAUAUUGAAGGAGCACGGAGCUGUUGGGAAAAGUUGCAACGCUAACAUAGACCUCCACUGAUAGAAUUUCAGAAUCAUUUGGUAGUUGAGAAGCGCCUACUUCAUGCGGAGGCCCCAUGGGAGGAGUGGAAGAGUUGGCCUCAGCACUGGCGAGUAUCGGAUGGGAGCUCUGCUCACUUGAUAAACUUCUGCACUGGAGGGGCCUCUCCUCCCCUCGUUCUGCACAUGGAGCUCUAAUCCCCACGCCUGGGAUGAGUGCAGAAUAUGCACCGCAGGGUAUUUGUAAAGAUGAGCCCAGCAGCUACACAUGUACAACUUGCAAACAGCCAUUCACCAGUGCAUGGUUUCUCUUGCAACACGCACAGAACACUCAUGGAUUAAGAAUCUACUUAGAAAGCGAACACGGAAGUCCCCUGACCCCGCGGGUUCUUCACACACCCCCAUUCGGCGUAGUACCCAGAGAGCUCAAGAUGUGUGGCAGUUUUCGGAUGGAAGCUCGAGAGCCCUUAAGUUCU